CGCGGCCUAUCAGCUUGCCGGUGGGGUGAUGGCCUACCAAGGCGACGACGGGUAGCCGGCCUGAGAGGGCGACCGGCCACACUGGGACUGAGACACGGCCCAGACUCCUACGGGAGGCAGCAGUGGGGAAUAUUGCACAAUGGGCGAAAGCCUGAUGCAGCGACGCCGCGUGAGGGAUGACGGCCUUCGGGUUGUAAACCUCUUUCAGCAGGGAAGAAGCGAGAGUGACGGUACCUGCAGAAGAAGCGCCGGCUAACUACGUGCCAGCAGCCGCGGUAAUACGUAGGGCGCAAGCGUUGUCCGGAAUUAUUGGGCGUAAAGAGCUCGUAGGCGGCUUGUUGCGUCGGUUGUGAAAGCCCGGGGCUUAACCCCGGGUCUGCAGUCGAUACGGGCAGGCUAGAGUGUGGUAGGGGAGAUCGGAAUUCCUGGUGUAGCGGUGAAAUGCGCAGAUAUCAGGAGGAACACCGGUGGCGAAGGCGGAUCUCUGGGCCAUUACUGACGCUGAGGAGCGAAAGCGUGGGGAGCGAACAGGAUUAGAUACCCUGGUAGUCCACGCCGUAAACGCUGGGAACUAGGUGUUGGCGACAUUCCACGUCGUCGGUGCCGCAGCUAACGCAUUAAGUUCCCCGCCUGGGGAGUACGG
rnacentral:rRNA from 1 species